AUAGAGACUUCGGUCAAUUGAAGCUUUGACUUAGUGGCGGACGGGUGAGUAACGCGUGAGCAACCUGCCUUGGAGUGGGGAAUAACAGUUGGAAACGGCUGCUAAUACCGCAUAAGCGCACGGUACCGCAUGGUACAGUGUGAAAAACUCCGGUGGUGUGAGAUGGACCCGCGUCUGAUUAGCUUGUUGGUGAGGUAACGGCCCACCAAGGCGACGAUCAGUAGCCGGCCUGAGAGGGUGAACGGCCACAUUGGGACUGAGACACGGCCCAAACUCC
rnacentral:rRNA from 1 species